rnacentral:rRNA from 1 species
GACGAACGCUGGCGGCGUGCUUAACACAUGCCAGUCGAACGGAAAGGCCCUGCUUUUGUGGGGUGCUCGAGUGGCGAACGGGUGAGUAACACGUGAGUAACCUGCCCUUGACUUUGGGAUAACUUCAGGAAACUGGGGCUAAUACCGGAUAGGAGCUCCUGCUGCAUGGUGGGGGUUGGAAAGUUUCGGCGGUUGGGGAUGGACUCGCGGCUUAUCAGCUUGUUGGUGGGGUAGUGGCUUACCAAGGCUUUGACGGGUAGCCGGCCUGAGAGGGUGACCGGCCACCUUGGGACUGAGAUACGGCCCAGACUCCUACGGGAGGCAGCAGUGGGGAAUAUUGCACAAUGGGCGGAAGCCUGAUGCAGCAACGCCGCGUGCGGGAUGACGGCCUUCGGGUUGUAAACCGCUUUCGCCUGUGACGAAGCGUGAGUGACGGUAAUGGGUAAAGAAGCACCGGCUAACUACGUG